rnacentral:rRNA from 1 species
CCUGGCUCAGGACGAACGCUGGCGGCAUGCCUAAUACAUGCAAGUCGAACGCUGAAGCACUCUGCUUGCAGAGUGUGGAUGAGUGGCGAACGGGUGAGUAACACGUGGAGAACCUGCCCAUAAGAGGGGGAUAACAUCCGGAAACGGGUGCUAAUACCGCAUAGGUAUCCGACACGCAUGUGUCGGCUAUGAAAGACGGCUUCGGCUGUCGCUUAUGGAUGGCUCCGCGGCGUAUUAGCUAGUUGGUGAGGUAAUGGCUCACCAAGGCAGUGAUACGUAGCCGACCUGAGAGGGUGAUCGGCCACACUGGGACUGAGACACGGCCCAGACUCCUACGGGAGGCAGCAGUAGGGAAUCUUCCACAAUGGGCGCAAGCCUGAUGGAGCAAUGCCGCGUGAAUGAAGAAGGUCUUCGGAUCGUAAAGUUCUGUUAUCGGAGAAGAACACGUCGAGUAGUAACUGGCUCGACCUUGACGGUAUCCGACCAGAAAGUCACGGCUAACUACGUGCCAGCAGCCGCGGUAAUACGUAGGUGACAAGCGUUGUCCGGAUUUAUUGGGCGUAAAGCGAGCGCAGGCG